CUCUUUCCACCUCCCGUGCAUCUCAGUAUCUCACCCGCUCUCACUAUCUCCCCAUCUCUCUUUCUGUUCACUAUCUAUUUCCCUUCUCUUCACCAUAAAUUACUUGUGGGUUUUUCUCAGGUAUCAUCAUUGACUAACCAUAAGACAAAAAAUCGCCGCUGCAAAUCUCCGCUCAUACACUUCCCGCCGCACCAAAUCCAUCACGACAGCCGCCUCUUCCCGCCGUUCCUCGACCAACUCCGACAGCCUACAGCAGCAGUGCACGCAUGGGUCUUCGCCGUCACAGUCGCUUGCCAUCGCCAUUUCUUUUGAGCUAAGGUAGAAGAAAGAGAGUGGACCAUAGAUUCGACCCAAGCAUCCACAUCAGGGAUGUCUUUCAGUGUGCAGUAUUCAAAGAAGACAUCCAGGGAAGGAUGAUUGAUAGACGGGAUAUAGAUGCUUCAUUUGAUAACUUUCCAUAUUACUUAAGGUGGCAAAGCUAUUGAUGAAAAAGGGCAUACCAAACACCACAUAGAAAGUAAUUUUUUUUUUUUUUUUUUGUAUGAAGUAGACUAGACAUUUUUGCUUUGGGGCUGCUUUUGUCUAAACUAAACAUGUUUAUCUGUACCAUCUCAUUUUUCAAAAUAGCCAAUAGAUACAUUACUAUGGCUAUUUGUUAUAAUUAGUUUCUUUACCUUUUGUCUUUACAAAGUUGUAUGAAACAUUUCAUUUUGGUAGUGAUGAUGAAGUCUUUUAAUAUAUUGAUUGAGUUUACUUU